AUGGAGAGAGCUUCCUAAGGAGCAAGGAUGUGGGGAGGGUCGGGUCAGGCCCGGAAGCUCAGCAGCAGUUCUCCAUCACUCAGCAGUGGCUGUCCGUCCCUCCGCUCUGGUUGUCCAGCCUUGUGGCCCGGCUCCAGGGCUGACCCGCACACAGAUCAUGUGGGCACGCCACGGCUUUUCCCUUCAUGUGGGAGCUGCCAGCUCAGUGUCCCAAGGGCAGCCAGACCCCCCUGCAGCUGUGAGGAUGCAGAGCUGCCUGAGCGUGCCCUGUUCAGUGCCUUCCACAUCCAGGCCUUGAGGUGUGCCCAUCAGGGCAGUGCACGUGAUGGUAACUUCUUGUGGGUGUUUGGUUGUAGUUGUGGAGACAGAGAGUGCUCUUUCAGGCCCUGAGCGAGGGGCAGAUACCGUGCUGACUCCGAGCUGGUACCUCAAGCGUGAGUAGUCAGUCUGUCCUGCCUUCACAAAAAGGAGCGCCCCUUUUCCCUAUUUUAUUCACGAGAAAAAUACCGUCAUAGGUUAACGUGCUUUUGUAAAUCUAACAAUAGGGAUGAACGAUGACAAAGUUCCUGAAGAGUUCCCUGAAGAAUUGCCGGAUGUUCCAGAGGAGCUCCUGGCAGCCUUGCAUGAAGCCCCAUCUGAGACAGAUUCUGAGACUGUGCCGGAGACCUUAGCCGUGGAAGAAAGUGACAGUGUGCCAGGCUCACAUGAAAAAAGAGAAGCAAUAGAGGACACCAGCACACUUGCUGAGCCUGAGCAAUAUUCAGGUGAGUGCUUGCUAGAUGCUGUCUUGGGCAAAGAGCAGCAUUUCUGCUGUAUCCCUGCAGUGCUCUCCAUGGGUGAAUUGCAGGUGCCCAGCACGCAGCCCGGGCCUGCAGCCCGGAGGAGUAGAUGGGGCAGUGCUGCUCCCUGGCACACACUGGGCUCUUGUGCAUGAGAACUUGAUGGGAUCCCUCUUGGUCCCUGAUGCUAAGACACCAGAGGCAGAGGAACCCAUCUCUGAAGACAACAUCAGAUGUCAGUUCUGAUUCACUAGCAGUGCCAGUCCUUGGGCAUCUGAAGCACGCUGUGGGGUUAUGCCUAGUGCAGAGCACAAACGCUGACUCUUGCAUUGUCUCUUCUCCUGCCAGGGUCAUCCGGUGGGCAAAAAGCCGAGACUGCUGCACACCGUGACCCCGGCAAGUACUACAUCCUAGUAGGGACAGUAGCAGCCUCAGCUUUGCUUCUGCUUGGGGCAGUGUCUGUGUAUCUAGUCAUGCAUCAGCUGCUGAAGAGAGAGAGGAGGAGCCAGGAGGACAAAGAGGCAAGAGGACAGGACUGGCACUCUUCCUGGGAAAGCUGUGGUCAGCCUAGAGGUGAAGCAGAGUCAGGAGAAGGAGCGGCAAGCGGCGAGAGAGCCCAAGGCAAGGGCUUCAGGGACAGCUGCCGCCUGUUUCCUGAGCUCUUUGCAGCAGAGCUCGCCCAGCGCUACAAGAACAUGGGCGCAGACCCGUCACCUCUGCCCACCUGCUCCUUCUGUGCUCUGGCUGACAACGCCUCUUCACGGGACCACUGGAUUUCCCUGGAGUCACCUCAGCCCACAGCAUCCUCUUGCCCCUCCUACCAAUACCAGCAGGACUAUUAUCUGUUAGAGGAGGAUGAUUAGUGAUAGUGAGAGAUGAUUAGUGAUAGUGAUAGUGAUAGUGAUAAGUAGUGAUAGUGCUAGUGAUUCUUUUAGGGAUAGUGGUAGGGAUACCUGAUAUUAGAGGGUGGUGGUUGUUUUAAUGAUAGCGUUAGUUAAUAUUAGAGGAUAGUGAUAGUUUUAAGGAUAGCGUUACUUGAUAUUAGAGGAGGGUAAUUGUAUUAGUGAUAGUGAUAGUGAUACAUAGUGAUAGUGGUAGUGAUAAAUAGUGAUAGUGGUAGUGAUUCUUUUAGGGAUAGUGGUAGGGAUACUUGAUAUUAGAGGGUGGUGGUUGUUUUAAUGAUAGUGAUAGUUAAUAGUAGAGGAUAGUGAUUGUUUUAAUGAUAGCGUUAUUUGAUAUUAGAGGACAGCGAUUGUAUUAGCGAUAGUGAUAGUUAAUAUUACAGGAUGGUGAUUGUUUUAGUGAUAGUGGUACAUUUAGUGAUCGUGAUACUUGGUAUUAGCAGAUAAUGAUUGUUUUCUUGAUAUUGAUAAAUAAAAAUGUUUCCAAAAGCAGUAAA